UUCAGGGCCCAAACUUUCUAAUGGAGUCCAAUGGAAUAAUAUGAAAAAGGAGGUUGGAGUUAUGGUCCAUGGGUGCGAAUAAGAAACUUGGGCCUCAGACUCAAGCGUGAGAGACCCAAUGGUGAACCCAACCCAUGGGUAGUCAAAACUCCAAUUCAGCAGCCAUGUUCAAUCCUUCAACCAUCUCCAUGUGCUUCCUCCGAUUCCUUCGACAAACACCCAAACACAGACUCCACAGCGAAGAACGAAAGUAACAAAUUCUCCAAUCCCUAAAAUCGUCCUAUUCGAAGCAACUCGAAUCAACAUCCACCGUGCGCGUCACGUUCAAGCAUCUCGAUUCGGCGGAAGAAUCACCAAAACCGAAUUGUGAACGGAUGACAAAUCUUAUCCAUUCUCUGCUUCAAUCUUUCCUUCUUCUUCUCCAAACCGUCGAGACCGUGUGCACCUCACUUGGAGUUCAUGAAUUAUUCCGUGAUCGGAGACACAAUCUGGUAUUGCAACACGGAAGAAUCAUUGGUUGGCAGAAAGAGAGCAAAUGAAGGCUAAGUGGAUUGGAAUCCGAUGCGGUGGCUCGGGUGUCAUCAACGAUAUUCGCAUGUGAUUCUCCUCUUUUCCGGUGUUGCUUUGAUUCAACGAGCACCUUGUCUCGGAGUUCUCAAAUCCACGAAUCUCCUUGGCUUAGUCGAGAAUCUUGAAGCCCCGAAACGAACCUGAAAUUCGAUUACGAACAGGUACGAUCCUCCACUUUUGAUUCGAUUUGCUUCUCUCUUCUUUCAAUUUGCUUCGAGUUGAUUCUACUAUGGCAUUUGUUUUGCGCGAUGUUGUUGUGGAUGUGAGGUCGCGGUUGCAAUGUUGGGAGCAAAUUCUCGGUUGACUGUCGAAUGUGAAGCAGAAGGAGGAAGAUUGAAGAGUGAAACAGAAUGGAGGUUGAACAUAGUGAAGCUUGAACCGAAUGAGGAUUGAAGGUAUUGAGUUCUUGAAGAGGAAGCUUGGGGCUUGAAGAAGAUGAGGGUGAAGAAUGUGACUUGCAAAAAAAUGAAGAAUCUCCUGAGAAUGAGAUUGGUAAGGUCUAUAUAUAGACUUCUCUCCCUCAAUUCUGUUAGAGAUGGUGAGCUGUUAGUUAUUUUGUUAUGAGUCAGUUUUUUUUUCUGUUGGAAUUGGUUAGUUACAACUUCUGUUGGUUGGUUAGGAAGUUCGUUGUUAUAGUUAUUGAAUGUUAGACUGUUAGUAUAUAAGAUGAACUUGUUGGAAUAGUUUGGAAAUUGACAAUUUUGCAUUGCCAUUAAAACUAGUGUUACCAUGUUAUCAUGUUGUAACUAUUAGUUAACAAAUGAUUGUAACUAUUAGUUAUCACAUGUGAAUAUCGUUGAUGACACCCGAGGAGAAUCACAUGCGAAUAUCGUUGAUGACACCCGAGGAGAAUCACAUAACCGGAAAAGAGGAGAAUCACAUGCGAACAUCGUUGAUGACACCCGAGCCACCGCAUCGGAUUCCAAUCCACUUGGCCUUCAUUUGCUCUCUUUCUGCCAACCAAUGAUUCUUCCGUGUUGCAAUACCAGAUUGUGUCUCCGAUCACGGAAUAAUUCAUGAACUCCAAGUGAGGUGCAUACGGUUGUUAUGCAUUAAUAAAAGUGAUGAUAUCGUUCAUAUGAAAUGCUGCAGAAUGGUGAUAUAUUGGCUAAUGUGACUUGGUCAGACUGAUGAAGAUUGGAUGGUUUGAGUCUUGAUGGUUAAGUAGUUUUGACUUGAUGUUUUGUUGGAUUUUCAUGGCAUUUAUCCUGACUUAGUCUGGCAGCAUAUGUCUAUUACAGUUCUGUGCGCUUCAGUUGCUGCAGGGUUUAUAUUCUUGGUUUUGCUUGGCUGCUACAUGAUUGAAGCCAUGUGGUGUAAAGGAUACUACUUUGGACCGUAUGCAAUGUUGUAGGUAUGUCCAAGUCCUGAUGGUUACCAGGUUAAGGUUUUGCAGCUUUUGUCUUGGUCGAAGCAUGGAGCCUUGGCCUUGAAGUGCAUUGUGUAUCGUUCUGACCAUGUGUAGCUCUGUUUUAGAUUGCUAGGCUUGCAUUGUUACUGCAUGAUGUGUGACCUAUUACCUUGUGUAUUGUUUUUCUUGAACAUGUGAAUGAUUGGCUUUGUAGGAUAGCAUGCACACAAGUGACUUCAAGGCUUGACAAAAUUGAAUUGAAAAAAAAAGAUGCAAGUAAGUUAAGAAUCACAUACCUUUUUAGGGUUUAGGAUGUAAGAUGGGGUUGGUUGACUUUGGUAAACUGGUUGACCAAAAAAUCAACUGUUGACCAAAAAGUCAAGUUUUGUAAAAAUUGCAUUUUUAUUUUCUUUUGUAAUGGACUAUGUAAAUGCUUAUUUUCAUGAAUGAAAUGACUUUAUUUGAAUAGAA